UGACAUGGGGCCGAUUAUUCGAUCGAC
rnacentral:sRNA from 1 species